rnacentral:rRNA from 1 species
UACGUAGGGGGCUAGCGUUGUCCGGAUUUAUUGGGCGUAAAGAGCGUGUAGGCGGCCAGGUAGGUCUGGUGUGAAAACUCGAGGCUUAACCUCGAGAUGUCAUCGGAAACCAUCUGGCUAGAGUCCGGAAGAGGAGAGUGGAAUUCCUGGUGUAGCGGUGAAAUGCGCAGAGUAUCAGGAGGAACACCGAUGGCGAAGGCAGAUCUGCUGGGCCG